GACGAACCACCCAAACGUUAUUCGGAAUCACUGGGCUUAAAGCGUGCGUAGGCGGCCUUGAAAGUUAGGUGUGAAAUCCCACAGCUCAACUGUGGAACUGCGCUUAAAAACUACAAGGCUAGAGGGAUAUAGAGGUGAGCAGAACAGAUGGUGGAGCGGUGAAAUGCGUUGAUAUCAUCUGGAAUACCGGAGGCGAAGGCGGCUCACUGGGUAUCUUCUGACGCUGAGGUACGAAAGCUAGGGGAGCGAACGGG
rnacentral:rRNA from 1 species